GGUACCUCGCGUACGGGAAAGAGGCGGAGCGUGCGCCGGUGUGAGCGCAACGCUGGCAUUGCGCAUGCGCGCGGUUGGGUGUCGCAGUGAGCGGGAAAGAGGCAGACCUCGCGCAGCUCCAGGCAGACCUGCCUAGUUCCUGAUAAGGACAAACGGACUUCAAUAACUUCUCUGUCCCAGGUCGGUUUGGGCUUUUCCCACCACCAAGGCUGGAAGGAAUUGCUCUGAGGUGGCUCCUUUCCUUUCAAGGUCCUCCGGCAUCCCCCGAAGGACCCCCUGACUUUUUGAAGCACUCCAGAUUUCUCAAGGGAGGGAUAAAAUGAGUAAGAGGAAGAAGCUUCGGACCUCAGGAGAAGGAAUCAAUCCUCUGAAACCCCCAAAGAACCCAAGGCUCAGAGACUCUCAUGGCGUCCCCCAGAGUUCUGAGUUGUGCCCUUUGCAUCACCCUGAAGAGUCAGAAGGCAGGUCAGGACCUGCUCCCUCUGUAGAGCAGCGUGGGGAGGAACCAGGACAGGCGGCCUCCAGUUCCCCGGAUAAGGAAACAGGCUCUUCCUCCAUGCUCCUUGGACAACCAGAAAGGGAGUCAGUUUCCUUUCCUUCUUCCCAGAACUCAGUUGGGAGGUUUGUCCCCCAGUUUGCAAAACCCAGGAAGACAGUGACAAGACAAGCAGCUACGAGAGAAGAGGACCUUGGAAGUGGGGCCUUUGGCUUGGAAACAUUGCCAGAGCCCAGUGUGCAGCCAGCAGGAAGCCAGUCUUGGGAGGAGUCCCCAGGUCUCACUGUCCGGGAGGCCAGGGAGCCGGGAGACCAGACCCAGGCAGGUGGCACCUGCUCUGAGCACGUCUGCAACCCUGUAACACUUGUGUCCAGCAGGGCGGGUUCUCAGUCUGAGGUCUCCAACGACGCCUCUCCAGCACGGGAGACAGUGGCCUUGGCCUCAGAGAGGGCCAGCCAGCACCACCUGUUGGAGCAAGGAACCAACUUGCCAGACGGUGGAAGCAGAGAGAGGGGUGGGGUUCCCGGUGCUCGUGGCCAGAAAGGGCUUCAACCGAGCAGUGAUGCUGAAGAGAAGGAGCCAGGCGGAGGAGCCCCACAGGAGGAAGAUGCCCACGGAGGAGCAGGUGCUGACCAGGAGGAAGGAGACAGCAUCCUGGCCACUUGGGACCCAGAGCCCCGAUCUGUGGCCCAGGGCCCCCCUCACCUCAUGCAGACACUCAGCAGGGCUGGCUGCGCAGCAGAAGGGAGCUAUAGUAGCCCAGGACGCUCUUCCCUUAUGACCAUUGUCCUCACAGACAUGAGCACAGACACCACCAAGCCAAAACAGAGGGCUCUGGGGACAGCUGGGCCCGGAGGGCAGGUGAACGCCAGGAUGCCUGCCUCUCUCAGUGGGGAGGCCCCUGCUGGAGGCCAUCGCGGGGCACUGCUCAGAGGCGUGCCUUUCGCUGGGGAGACCGUAGGAGGCAGAGGGGAGGCAGGGGGGGAAGCUAAGCCCCCUGGUGAUGUCCCAGGGGGCCCUGCUCUGGCUCAUGGAAUUCAAGAGCCCACAACAAGUGCUGGAGGUGUCAGCCCUGUAGCUUCUGAAAUGGGCCCAAGUGUUGCUCAGACACAGGUGCCAGGCCGGGAUCAAGAAGGGCUGGGAGGUUCGUGUGCAAUGCCUUUGCCGUCGCAGCCCUCAGGUGAAAAGGCAGCUGAGUUAGGUAGCCAGAGCCAGGAACAAGACCUUGGGGGGCUCAGUCUAUCCCUUGGAGCGUCUGCUCUGCCAAUGCACAGAGAAGCAGUUGAUAGUCCUCCCCCGGACGCCAAGGCCUCCCAGGGCAGCCCAGACGCUCUUGAAGGUCUAGUAGGCCAGCCUAACAGGCCUGACUCUGAAGAUCAGGACGCAGGGGGGAUGUCCCCAGCCAUGGAGCUCGACUUCCUGCCAGACAGUCAAAUACAGGAUGCCCUGGAAGCUCCCGACAUUGAAACUCCUCUUGAGCAGCGCCUACGAAGGGCUCAAACCCUGCGAAGCUCCCAGGAUGGAGGAUGCAACAGACACUGUUCGCGGUCUCGUCAUCGAGCUCUCCAACCUGAACCGCCUGAUCAUGACCACUCACCGGGACCUGGAAGCCUUCAAGCGCCUCAACUACUGGAAGGCCAAACCUGUGGUGAAAGCCCCCCUGCCCCACACAUCAAAGGGGGCCGGGACUGUCCCUCAUGGGGAACCAUCCUGGAAGGGCUUGUAGAUGCUUCUAAACAGGGAGCUGGGGACCUACCCCUCCCAUGGAUGUGCGUAUUUCCUUGGAGCCCUGGCCCCCAGAGGUGCCCGAUGUUCCUGCCGAACAGCUGGCAACAGUCCCUCAGUAGACCCUGAAAAGCCUACAAUCCCUGAUGCUUCCCCUGGUAUUUUGUUACCCCCAAGAUGCUCCAGCAGGUCCUAGUGGGCCCUGGAAACUGCCCUUCAGCCAACCUGGAAGUCAGCUUCCCCUGGGAAACUCUGGCGGCCCCUCUGAGUCUACAUCCUCCCUCUGGAGUCUGUAUGGGGAGGGAACCUGGAGGAGGCGGGCUGGAGCCCCAAAAGCAGGGCCCAGAGCCGCCCAGAUAUUUAUCUGGGUUUGCAAAUUUUGGCUCCUUUAAAUGUGGUUAUGGCAGGUUCAGAAUUUCUUUCCUGGAGGAGAAAAGGGCUCCCUUUGUUGCUUGUAUGUUUGUCUUUCUCCAGAUUUCCAUUUUAUCUCUUCUGGGAAGACCAUUAAAUGAUUCUCUAGUGAAGC